CACCUASCAUAAGSUAGGUAUCUUAUAUUUAUAUAAGAGGCGAACGAGGGGAAGUGAAACAUCUCAGUACCCUUAGGAAUAGACAUCAAUUGAGAUUCCCCUAGUAGCGGCGAGCGAACGGGGAGAAGCCGAUUAAUUCUAAUGUAGAAGAACAGCGUGGGAAAGCUGACCGUAGUAGGUGAUAGUCCUGUAUUCGAAACAUUAGAGUUAACAUAUUAAGUAGAGCGGGGCACGAGAAAUCCUGUUUGAAGAUGGGGGGACCAUCCUCCAAGGCUAAAUACUCCUGACUGACCGAUAGUGAACCAGUACCGUGAGGGAAAGGCGAAAAGAACCCCUGUGAGGGGAGUGAAAUAGAACCUGAAACCGUGUGCGUACAAGCAGUGGGAGCCUUAAUUUAUUAGGGUGACCGCGUACCUUUUGUAUAAUGGGUCAGCGACUUAUAUUCUGUAGCAAGGUUAACCGUUUAGGGGAGCCGUAGGGAAACCGAGUCUUAAUAGGGCGAUUAGUUGCAGGGUAUAGACCCGAAACCGAGUGAUCUAUCCAUGAGCAGGUUGAAAGUGCCGUAACAGGCACCGGAGGACCGAACCCACUGUCGUUGAAAAGCCAGGGGAUGACUUGUGGAUAGGGGUGAAAGGCUAAUCAAACUCGGUGAUAGCUGGUUCUCCCCGAAAGCUAUUUAGGUAGCGCCUCGGACGAACACCAUUGGGGGUAGAGCACUGUUUCGGCUAGGGGGUCAUACCGACUUACCAAACCGAUGCAAACUCCGAAUACCGAUGAGUGAUAUCCGGGAGACACACAGUGGGUGCUAACGUCCAUUGUGGAGAGGGAAACAACCCAGACCGCCAGCUAAGGCCCCAAAUUCCUAGUUAAGUGGGAAACGAGGUGGGAAGGCAUAGACAGCUAGGAGGUUGGCUUAGAAGCAGCCAUCCUUUAAAGAAAGCGUAAUAGCUCACUAGUCGAGUCGGCCCGCGCGGAAGAUGUAACGGGGCUCAAACUAGGAGCCGAAGCUGCGGAUUUGAAUUUGUUUUCAAGUGGUAGGGGAGCGUUGUGUAAGCCUGUGAAGGUGUGUUGUAAAGCAUGCUGGAGGUAUCACAAGAGCGAAUGCUGACGUGAGUAACGAUAAUGCGAGUGAAAAGCUCGCACGCCGGAAGAUCAAGGGUUCCAGUCCAACGUUAAUCGGGGCUGGGUGAGUCGACCCCUAAGGCGAGGCCGAAAGGCGUAGUCGAUGGGAAAUCGGUUAAUAUUCCGAUACUUGUUUAUAAUGCGAUGGAGGGACGGAGUAGGUUAUGUCAGCCUGGCGUUGGUUGUCCAGGUGAAAGGAUGUAGGCUUACAGUUUAGGCAAAUCCGGACUGUAAUAUGGCUGAGAUCUGAUAGCAAGCGGUACUUGUACCGYGAAGUGGCAAAUACCAUGCUUCCAGGAAAAGCUUCUAAGCAAUAGUUAUAAACGAAUCGUACCCUAAACCGACACAGGUGAUCAGGUAGAGAAUACCAAGGCGCUUGAGAGAACUCUGCUGAAGGAACUAGGCAAAAUGGUACCGUAACUUCGGGAGAAGGUACGCUGCCGAUGGUGAUAGGACUUGCUCCUUGAGCUGUUGGCAGUCGCAGAUACCAGGCUGCUGCAACUGUUUAUUAAAAACACAGCACUCUGCAAACACGAAAGUGGACGUAUAGGGUGUGAUGUCUGCCCGGUGCUGGAAGGUUAAUUGAUGGGGUUAGCGUAUGCGAAGCUCUUGAUCGAAGCCCCAGUAAACGGCGGCCGUAACUAUAACGGUCCUAAGGUAGCGAAAUUCCUUGUCGGGUAAGUUCCGACCUGCACGAAUGACAUAAUGAUGGCAGCGCUGUCUCCAGCAGAGACUCAGUGAAAUCGAAAUCGCAGUGAAGAUGCUGUGUACCCGCGGCUAGACGGAAAGACCCCGUGAACCUUUACUACAGCUUUACAUUGAACUUUGACCUGACUUGUGCAGGAUAGGUGGGAGGCUUUGAAGCCGAGACGCUAGUCUUGGUGGAGCCAUCCUUGAAAUACCACCCUGGUCAUGUCGGGGUUCUAACUCAGGUAUAACAAUACCGAGGACAAUGUAUGGUGGGU
rnacentral:rRNA from 1 species